UAGUCCGGAUUGGAGUCUGCAACUCGACUCCAUGAAGUCGGAAUCGCUAGUAAUCGUGGAUCAGAAUGCCACGGUGAAUACGUUCCCGGGCCUUGUACACACCGCCCGUCACACCAUGGGAGGGGGUUGCAAAAGAAGUAGGUAGCUUAACCUUCGGGAGGGCGCUUACCACUUUGUGAUUCAUGACUGGGGUGAAGUCGUAACAAGGUAACCGUAGGGGAACCUGCGGUUGGAUCACCUCCUUACCUUAAAGAAGC
rnacentral:rRNA from 1 species